rnacentral:rRNA from 1 species
UACGAAGGGGGCUAGCGUUGCUCGGAAUCACUGGGCGUAAAGGGCGCGUAGGCGGCCAUUCAAGUCAGAGGUGAAAGCCCAAGGCUCAACCUUGGAACUGCCUUUGAUACUGUUUGGCUUGAGACCGGUAGAGGUAAGUGGAACUGCGAGUGUAGAGGUGAAAUUCGUAGAUAUUCGCAAGAACACCAAUGGCGAAGGCGGCUUACUGGACCGGUUCUGACGCUGAGGCGCGAAAGCGUGGGGAGCAAACAGG